CCUACGGGUGGCAGCAGUGGGGAAUAUUGGACAAUGGGGGCAACCCUGAUCCAGCCAUGCCGCGUGUGUGAAGAAGGCCCUCGGGUUGUAAAGCACUUUCAGUGAGGAAGAACACCUGGUGGUUAAUACCCAUCAGGAAAGACAUCACUCACAGAAGAAGCACCGGCUAACUCCGUGCCAGCAGCCGCGGUAAUACGGAGGGUGCGAGCGUUAAUCGGAAUUACUGGGCGUAAAGCGCGCGUAGGUGGCUUGAUAAGCCGGUUGUGAAAGCCCCGGGCUCAACCUGGGAACGGCAUCCGGAACUGUCAAGCUAGAGUGCAGGAGAGGAAGGUAGAAUUCCCGGUGUAGCGGUGAAAUGCGUAGAGAUCGGGAGGAAUACCAGUGGCGAAGGCGGCCUUCUGGACUGACACUGACACUGAGGUGCGAAAGCGUGGGUAGCAAACAGGAUUAGAUACCCUUGUAGUC
rnacentral:rRNA from 1 species